GACGAACGCUGGCGGCGUGCCUAACACAUGCAAGUCGAACGGGGUGUUCCUUCGGGGACACUUAGUGGCGAACGGGUGAGUAACGCGUGAGAAACCUGCCUUUCAGUGGGGGACAACAGUUGGAAACGACUGCUAAUACCGCAUAACACUUUUAAGGGGCAUCCCUUUUAAGUCAAAGCUUUAUGUGCUGAAAGAUGGUCUCGCGUCUGAUUAGCUAGUUGGUGAGGUAACGGCUCACCAAGGCGACGAUCAGUAGCCGGUCUGAGAGGAUGAACGGCCACAUUGGGACUGAGAUACGGCCCAGACUCCUACGGGAGGCAGCAGUGGGGAAUAUUGCGCAAUGGGGGAAACCCUGACGCAGCAACGCCGCGUUGAGGAUGAAGGCUUUCGGGUUGUAAACUCAUGUCUGGUGGGAAGAUAAUGACGGUACCACCGGAGGAAGUCACGGCUAACUACGUG
rnacentral:rRNA from 1 species